CUCUCAUUAUGAAUCCCAUUAUAAAUUACUACUCAGAUGGUACCUAUCCCCCUCAAAAUUACACAAAUUCAAAUGAUCAAACAAAUGUUGGAGGCAUUGUGUCAAGUGAGAUCCUUAGGCCAUAUUUUUUGAACAUGCCCAAAUAUAAAACAAUUCUGGAAUUUGAUUCAUAAAAUAAUUAACACAAUUGCAGAUUCAAUUAUAAACUUAACCCAAGAAAUUUGUUUAUUCAAAAAAUAUCCCCCAAAUUUAUCCAAAAACAAAUCAAUUUGUAACAACCCCUAUAAGAUUGCCUGGGGACCUCAACCUUUCCUACCACCACCAACCUUGCCUGUUACCUAAGAACAAAGACUGUUCGUGCAAUUGCUUUUGUUUAAUGUAUAUUGUUUUUCACUGAAUGCCCGACCACCCAGAACAGAAGUGUGGCACUCAUUUACCUCCCUAACCCUAAAAUCACCAUGAAAACCGCGAACACUCCAUGUGUUUAAUUGUUAUACAGGGUGGUCGGCGUUAGUUUGCACGAACACGUGGCGGCGGCCAUUUUCUUUAG